GGAUUAGGCAUGCAAGUCGAACGAGGAUAUACCUUUCGGGGUAUAAACCGAGUGGCGCAAGGGUGAGUAAUGCAUAGAUUACCUGCCUCUAGGAUAAGGACAACUUUGUGAAAACGAAGCUAAUACUUAAUAAUACAAGAGAGAAUAAUUCUUUUUUGUCAAUGGGAGGGUAGCAAUACCUUUUGCCUAGAGAGGGGUUUAUGUCCUAUCAGCUUGUUGGUGGGGUAAUGGCCUACCAAGGCGAAGACGGGUAGCCGGUCUUAGAGGAUGGUCGGCCACACUGGGACUGAGACACUGCCCAGACUUCUACGGAAGGCUGCAGUCGAGAAUCUUUCGCAAUGCCCGAAAGGGUGACGAAGCGACGCCGCGUGAGUGAGGAAGGCCUUCGGGUUGUAAAGCUCUGUCAGGUGUUAAGAAAUAUAAGUGUGCUAAUACCACAUUUAUUUGACAAAGGCGCCAAAGGAAGCCACGGCUAACUCUGUGCCAGCAGCCGCGGUAAUACAGAGGUGGCAAGCGUUGUUCGGAAUUAUUGGGCGUAAAGAGCACGUAGGUGGGUUCGUAAGUCAGAUGUGAAAGCCUUCUGUUCAACGGAAGAAUUGCAUCUGAAACUGCGAGUCUUGAGUGUAGGAGGGGAGAAUGGAACUUCUGGUGGAGCGGUGAAAUGCGUAGAUAUCAGAAGGAACGCCGGCGGCGAAAGCGAUUCUCUGGCCUAUUACUGACACUCAGUGUGCGAAAGCUAGGGGAGCAAACGGGAUUAGAUACCCCGGUAGUCCUAGCUGUAAACGAUGGGCACUAAGUAGAGGGAAUUACCGAUGUUCUCUCUGCCGUAGCUAACGCAUUAAGUGCCCCGCCUGGGGAGUACGGCCGCAAGGCUAAAACUCAAAAGAAUUGACGGGGGCUCGCACAAGCGGUGGAGCAUGUGGCUUAAUUCGAUGCAACGCGAAAAACCUUACCGGGGCUUGACAUGGUAGAAGUAGGAACCUGAAAGGGUAACGAACGGUAUCCAGUCCGUAGCUAUCACAGGUGUUGCAUGGCUGUCGUCAGCUCGUGUCGUGAGAUGUUGGGUUAAGUCCCCUAACGAGCGAAACCCUUGUUUUUAGUUACCAGCGGGUUAUGCCGGGUACUCUAGAAAGACUGCCGUCGUCAAGACGGAGGAAGGUGGGGAUGACGUCAAGUCAUCAUGGCCCUUAUGCCCCGGGCUGCACACGUGCUACAAUGGUCGGUACAAACGGAAGCGAAGCCGAGAGGUGGAGCGAAUCCUAAAAAGCCGAUCUCAGUUCGGAUUGGAGGCUGAAAUUCGCCUCCAUGAAGUUGGAAUCGCUAGUAAUCGCGGAUCAGCAUUGCCGCGGUGAAUAUGUUCCCGAGCCUUGUACACACCGCCCGU
rnacentral:rRNA from 1 species